rnacentral:lncRNA from 1 species
UGGGAAUGCCCAAACCCAUUGGUUAUCAGCCCUGUGGAUCUGAAGGAAGCCUCCCCUUCCUGGAGGGUCUCCAGCCAGGGGCACAGGGAAUCAGGGCAAAAUCAACAAGACUGGACUGUCUGGGGCAGAGCCAGCCUGGGGAAACUUACAUUCUGCUUUGGCACAGAUGAGGCAGGCGGUGGUGCAGUUGAAGAAGUUCAGGAUCCCAGCUACAGCCACGCUGAUGUCAGUGUUGCUGGGGUGGAGGUUCAGGGUUGUGAAUCUCUGGAACUGGAACUUGACGAACUCCUCUGGGGCCACUUUGAAGUGAGGGACCUGGCAAGAGGAGCAAAAACGGACAGCAGGGAGGAUCCAGGUGGGUGAAAAGGAAGAAAGAGGGAUGAGUGAGCUGAGGUUGUGGAGGGUGAGUUCUUUUAUGUAACACCUUCGCCAGACACCAAUGGGAGAAGGAGCUCCCAGGGCACCCACUCCGUGGGAGGAAGACGAGCGAUGACAUCCCUGAUGAUGCUUCAAAGAAGCAGCCCCAGGACAGAAAACUAUUUGUCCAGAGACCCGGAUGAAUGCACCGUGGGUCUGCAAGCUGGGGUCUGUGGUCCUGAGAAGGCAAAAGAAUCUAUCUUUAUUCUUAGAGGAACUGCCUGCUGCUGGCAGAGAGACAGUUGGCUCUUGAAAGCAUAAUCCUUAGAAUAUUUUAUUUGUAGUUAAUACAUCAGAGCAGAGACGGCAGAAAGAGAAAAAUCGCUACCCUGGGACUAAGAGAAGAGUCCCAUCAGCCCAGCCCAGCCAACAGGUGUAUAGUAACCAGCUCCCAACAAACUUCAGUGGGGAAUGCCCAGGGAGAGGAAGUGGGGCGGGGAUGGGCUCCCGCACAGACACACAUGCGCACAUGGAGGAAGGAAGCCCUGCAGGCGGAGAAACCAUCUAGAGAACCUCUGAACACAGCCAGAUGUUGCUGAUGAUGGAGCUGGAGGCUGGGCUGGACGAUGGUCCGAGGACAGCGACCACCCCCUUGGGGAGGAUCUGACACACUGCAGCCAGCGGCAGGGACAGGGAAAGAAGCAAAGCACUCAUCAGAUACAAAAUCAACAGAGAGAAAUUAAAGAGCAGAGUCAAGAUUCAACAGCUCCACCCAUUUCCCCAAAGACCGGCCCCUUAACCACUGCACCGCACAGCCAUCCCCAGCAAAUGGCAAUUAACUGGGAUGUUUGUAGAUUGCCUUGGCCACUGGAACACUGAGUUAUUGUCUUCCCUUUUUUCAUUUCACUACUUUCUAUAAUGAGCAUGUAUUCCUUUUUAUAACAUAUUAUAAAGAAUACAAUGCUAUAAUAAAAACAUUCUUCUGAUGAGCAAGUAAAAUUCGAGUGACUCUGGUCUCCUUAAGUCCUGUCUUUGCAGCCCCUUCUCCCACCGUGCCAUCUCCCGCUGCAUGCCAGCUCACCUAGAACAUACUCUGUACAUAUUUUCCUGCCUGAUCCUGUUCCCAAAUGGCUAUCUCUAGAUCAGGGGUUCUUAACCUGUAGCCUGGGG